rnacentral:lncRNA from 1 species
AUUUAAUACUUUUUGGAACGGUACUUCAAAACUUUGAAAGAGGUUUAAAGUUAUCCAGAUUAUCAAAUCCUUAGAUCUGACUCUGAUCAAUUAUUCUUAUGCUGGUUUUUCAAAACUUUGCUGGAUCAAAUUCGCUCGAAUGGCCACUGGGCCUUAAUAAAUUCACCUCUUUGAAGUUGAACUUCAGUUAGAUCAUGCUUGUUGUUGUUUUAUGAGAUAUCGAGUCAUUAGAGCUUAUCUAACCCACCACUUUCCCCCAUUUUUGUUGUUGUAGGUAGGAAUUCUGCAAACCCAGAAUUUGUCUUUCAGUCUGCUUUUUUAAAAACAUUGGCUUUCAGGUAAAACAAAAAACAAUAACAUAUUAAUUUAUAAAGUCACGUGACAUAUUUAGUUACUGCGUUGCAGGGAUUGUUGCAUCACAACCUCACCAGACAGUCAGUAAUGAUGGAAAACCUCUCAAACACAUUGUUUUUGGAGUGUUUUUUGUUUUUAUCACUUUGACAAAUUAAACUCUUAAAAGCGUACACAUUUAGCUGUCUUUGAUCCAUCAACACUAGUUUGUCAAAAACCUUCCUGCUGAAUUAAUAGACUGCAGGGAUUUCUGCUGGAGUCCAACACAUCACAACCGUUGUUUGUUUGGGGUCUUUGACGUGACCAAACCCGGGAAUCCCCCAAAGCUCCAUCCAGCCAAAGACGCACAGGGUUAAUUUUAAGCCCCCACCACCACCACCCACACCUUCCAUUUGAAAGCCGCCUCUCUACCGGGAGAGGAAGGCUCUUUUUCGGUCAGAUGGCGUGCUGCAGUCCGCCCCCGUCAUUCUCCAGCCCACACAGACAGCAAAAGGCAGCCAGCAACCAAUACGUUGCGCCGGAGGAGGAUUUCUGCCAGCGAUUCCGGCGAAAGGGAUUUACUACGACAAUCCGAGCCGCGGACGAGGACGGAGAGAGACUCACCUGGAAGGACUGCUCUGUGUUUAUUCACAACUUCAUUGACUAAAAAAAAAAAAAAAAAAAGGUAAAAAAAAAUGUCCUGCAUUGGUUUUUUCCACAUCAUUUUUAUUUCUUUGAUUUAAUUUUUGUUAAAUGCAUGCAUGUACAAACUGAAUAAAUGACUGUUAUUUAACUUUCAUCAUUAUGGAUUUUUAUUUGUCAUAAGCAGUUAUAAGAACUACUUUCUUGUGGAGGAUUUUUCAGUUCACCUUCAUGUUUCCCGCGCCUAU